AGCCUUAAGCCGGUGAUAAACUUCAUCGAAGGCUAAAUAUUAUAAGGAAGGCGAUAGCAAACAAGUACCGUGAGGGAAAGUUGCAAAGGACUUUGAAGAGAGAGUUCAAGAGAACGUGAAAUCCUAAUAGUGGAAGCAGAACGAGCUGAAAUAGCUAUAUAGUGAAGUGGUUGCGGUAACGCGUCUAUGGAUCUAUUUAGCUGCUCUGGCUGUACUAGUCGAGUUUUCAUGACUUGUUGUGUGUUGCCCAUCGCUUCGGUGUAUGGUGUCUUGCCGGCAGGAAUUGACUACCGUAUUAGUAUUACCCAUUAUGGUCUUACGGCCAUGAGCCAGGGUUAAAGUCAGUCACCGUUCUGACCCGUCUUGAAACACG
rnacentral:rRNA from 1 species